rnacentral:piRNA from 1 species
UAAACAUGGACACCGCGGAUUCUGGU